AAUCCCUAAACCCCCUCUCAGUUCGGAUCGAAGUCUGCAACCCGACUUCGUGAAGCUGGAUUCGCUAGUAAUCGCGCAUCAGCCAUGGCGCGGUGAAUACGUUCCCGGGCCUUGUACACACCGCCCGUCAAGCCAUGGAAGUUGGGGGUGCCUGAAGUGCGUUACCGCAAGGAGCGUCCUAGGGCAAAACCGAUAACUGGGGCUAAGUCGUAACAAGGUAACCAAGGGC
rnacentral:rRNA from 1 species